ensembl:snoRNA SNORA74 Small nucleolar RNA SNORA74
CCCAGCUGUAGGCAGCUACCUAGGUUUCCUUUAUACCUAGGCAAGUGUUACACUGCUGGGAGAACAGCAGCCAAUAGCUGGUUGGCAUUCUGGCCUGGUUCAUGCCAACUCU